rnacentral:rRNA from 1 species
CCUCCGUUCUUCCGCCGUGUUUACUAUUUCACAAUUGUCGCAAGCCUUAUGCAGCAACGCCGCGUGAAGGAAGAAGGGUUUCGGCUCGUAAACUUCUAUCAACAGGGACGAAAGAAAUGACGGUACCUGAAUAAGAAGCCCCGGCUAACUACGUGCCAGCAGCCGCGGUAAUACGUAGGGGGCAAGCGUUAUCCGGAAUUACUGGGUGUAAAGGGUGAGUAGGCGGCAUGGUAAGCCAGAUGUGAAAGCCUUGGGCUUAACCCGAGGAUUGCAUUUGGAACUAUCAAGCUAGAGUACAGGAGAGGAAAGCGGAAUUCCUAGUGUAGCGGUGAAAUGCGUAGAUAUUAGGAAGAACACCAGUGGCGAAGGCGGCUUUCUGGACUGAAACUGACGCUGAGGCACGAAAGCGUGGGGAGCGAACAGGAUUAGAUACCCCUGUAGUC